CCGGCGACCGGCGGACGGGUGCGUAACGCGUAUGUAACCUACCUUUGACAGGGGGAUAACAUCGAGAAAUUGGUACUAAUACCCCAUAACAUCACCGGAGGCAUCUUCGGUGGUUGAAAACUCAGGUGGUCAGAGAUGGGCAUGCGUUGUAUUAGCUAGUUGGUGAGGUAACGGCUCACCAAGGCGACGAUACAUAGGGGGACUGAGAGGUCAACCCACCACAUUGGUACUGAGACACGGACCAAACUCCUACGGGAGGCAGCAG
rnacentral:rRNA from 1 species